rnacentral:rRNA from 1 species
GACGAACGCUGGCGGCGUGCUUAACACAUGCAAGUCGAACGGAAAGGCCCUGCUUUUGUGGGGUGCUCGAGUGGCGAACGGGUGAGUAACACGUGAGUAACCUGCCCUUGACUUUGGGAUAACUUCAGGAAACUGGGGCUAAUACCGGAUAGGAGCUCCUGCUGCAUGGUGGGGGUUGGAAAGUUUCGGCGGUUGGGGAUGGACUCGCGGCUUAUCAGCUUGUUGGUGGGGUAGUGGCUUACCAAGGCUUUGACGGGUAGCCGGCCUGAGAGGGUGACCGGCCACAUUGGGACUGAGAGACGGCUCAGACUCCUACGGGCGGCAGCAGUGGGGAAUAUUGAACAAUGGGCGGAAGCCUGAUGCAGCAACGCCGCGUGCGGGAUGACGGCAUUCGGGUUGUAAAACGCUUUCGCCUGUGACGAAGCGUGAGUGACGGUAAUGGGUAAAGAAGCACCGGCUAACUACGUG